ACUUAAUAUGUUUUCCACAAAAUAUGCAGAUAUUUAAAACCUUGAUUAUUCCAUGAAGCUUGAUAUUAUCCAUAAAUGUAAACAACCAAUAUCUUGAUCUAUGUCACCGAUAUCAAGUAGUAUAAAGCUCAGUAUAGAAUCUGUGGGACUCCAGUACACACCUCCAUAAAUUAAUGAGUUCUUAUAGAGAUGAAUCAUUUAGUCACUCAACAGAAGGACUGUUGGACUCAUCUAACAGUCCACAAAGAUGUCACAACUUUUAAUAACUUGAUUUCAACAGUUUUAAGCAACGUCUCUCUGCAUGCUUUCAGUCUGGUAACCUUGUCAAAGGACAAAAUAUUAACAUAAGUCACUUUUCUGUAACUCUCAUAAGACAUUUUAUUUGCAUUAUUUGUAUAAACUUAUGACAAUGACAAGCAACUUACCAGAAUUGGGAAGUUUUUCAUAGUAUAAUAUUGUAUCUUACCUUUUUAAAAAUUACUUUUUGGGGAGCAUAAAGUUCUAUGAGUUCCUCCAUAUGCAUAGAUUCAUGUAACCAUCACCACAAUCUAGGUACAGUGCAGUUUUGAUGAUGCCAAAUUAUUCCCUUAUCCCCUCUGUAGUUACAUCUGCCAUCCCUAAACACUGGCAACCACUGAUAUGUUUGCUCCUGUAGUUUUGCUUUUACUAGAAUAUCAUGUAAAUACAACUAUAUAGUAAGUAAGUUUUUGUCUCUGGAUUCUUUUUCUUAGCAUAAUGUAUUUACAAAUACACCCAUGCUGCUAUAUGUAUCAGUAGUUGGUUCCUUUCUAUUCCUGAGUAGUAUCCCAUGGAAUCCAAGUAUCACGGUUUGCUUAUCCAUUCAACCGUUGGUGAACAUUUGUAAUGUUUUCAGUUUUUGAUGAUUUUGAAUAGGGAUAUUAUAAUUAAUGUGCAGAUUUUUAUGUAAAUGUAAGUUUUAAAUUUUCUAGAUUAAAUGCUCAAAGGAGCUGUUCUGGGUCAUGUGGUAAGUACAAAUUUUAAAGAAACUGCCAAACUGUCUUCCAAAGUGGUUGUAUAAUUUUACAUUCGCCCUACUUCACUUGUUUCUUGUGAAAUAAGACUGAGCUUUUGUCUCAUCAAUCCCACUGGUUAGAAUACAGGGGCUUCAUCUAUGUAUGCCUCAUAGCACCUAGCCCCAGGCCUGGGUAUAAAGCAGGUACUUGUUGAAUGUCAUAUAUAGCUAUUAUUGUUUUCUACCUUUCACACAUGUCUUUUUAAAAUUUAUUCUGUUUAAUGGGUCGCUUGUAACUUGUAGAAUAAAAGCUACAUGCUUAAAGGUCACAUUUAAAGUCUUUCAUAAGCUGUUCCUCACAUUACUUUCCUAGCUUCAUCACCAUAUAUCAUCAUAGCCCAUAUUCCGACAAUACCAGAAAACUUCAGUUUAUUCCUUCCACCUGGAAUGUGCCCCCCAUCUCAUACUACAUCUACUAUGAAUAUUGGAAAUUAUAUUUACUAAAGCACCUCAGCAGCCAAACCCAACCAGAAACUACACUCUGGUCAGUCUCCUCAUGCACAGAGGAGGGUGGAACAUGGAUCUGGAAGGCCAAACAAAAGAUCGGAGAACUCAUCAGCAUUUGUUGUAAGAUGGGUCUAGUGGUGAUGAAUUGUUUCAACUUUUGUUUGUCUG
rnacentral:lncRNA from 10 species